rnacentral:rRNA from 1 species
UACGAAGGGUGCAAGCGUUAAUCGGAAUUACUGGGCGUAAAGCGCACGCAGGCGGCUUUGCAAGACAGAUGUGAAAUCCCCGGGCUCAACCUGGGAACUGCAUUUGUGACUGCAAGGCUAGAGUACGGCAGAGGGGGAUGGAAUUCCGCGUGUAGCAGUGAAAUGCGUAGAUAUGCGGAGGAACACCAAUGGCGAAGGCAAUCCCCUGGGCCUGUACUGACGCUCAUGCACGAAAGCGUGGGGAGCAAACAGG